UAAACAUGGUUUACUUGGACAUUUAGUAAUUUUUAUUCAUGGUUUAAAACCUUAGUAGGCCUUUAUCUCAAUGUAGGCUUUAUUUUGUACAUAUCCCGCUACUUAAUACAUAGAUAUUACUGCUCCUAUCAAUGGAAUUGUUCCAGUCAUAAUUUUUGUUUCAUGAAUGUUAGAAUGGUUUUUCUCAGGUAAUUGUGGAAAGAUUCUUGUAAUAUUGUUACAGUAUAGUCGGACUCGUAGUCACGUUUUGGAAUUUCUUCGGUGUUAAUUGAUAAAUGAUUUGUACGUAUACUGUUUGCAUGCUUUAAUAGAUGUGUAAUCAUGUUUUUCCCAAUUUGUUGAAUUACUAAUAAAAUUAUUUUUUUUAAAAAUAUUAUUACUGUUAUAACUACGCACCUAUUUCAGUAGUUGGUCACUCUCUUAGCUGAUAGAAAUUUGGGGAAAAAAGCAACAAGUUACUUUUAAAAGUUUUAAGCAGAAUUAGGUAGUAUGUCAAAUUUUCUGGGCACAUCUGUAAAAAUGAAAAUAUAGGUUUUUAAUGGAAAAAAACGAUGCUGAUAUGUUACUUCGUCCCAUAGAAAUGGUAAAUACUUCAGGUGACGAGGAUUUCUCUGAAAAUUCCGUCUGAAAGAAGCGUGUGAUCUUACUGAUGUGCCAAGGCAAGUUAAGCACUUGAUUUUAAAGGCUUUAAAACUUAUAAUGCUGAACACAAUUGAUUUUGCGCUUGCGACCAGUGCAGGUCAUGAUCAGCCUGCACAUCCAUGCAGUCUGAUCAUGACCGGCACUGUUCACCAUUCAGUCAGUAUCUUUUUGGUAUGCAUCCGAUUUAACAGUUAAUAGUACUGUCCAGAUUGAAAGAUGGACAAGUUUAUUAUAGAAAUUUAGCAGGGUAAGGGUUAAGAGUUGUUGCUAAAAGCAGGCAUGUGCAUGGAAUCAUGAAGGUUGUUGUUUCAGGAAGCAAUAUUUAUCGUUUGUUAAAUGUUGUUGUUUUUUCCUAAAUCAAGAAAGAGGUGUUGUUAUUUCUGAAUUAUUGUCUACACUAUUUUUUGUCAAUAUGUAUCUUUUGAACUGCAAAAGGGUGGUGUAAAACUAAAGGUUGGUUUUCUUUCUGUCAGAUUCUUAGCAAUUAAAUGUUCUAUCAUCCCAUUAUAAUCCUGUGAGACUAAUUUUCUUGGAUUUUGUGUUUGAUUCAUUCCGUAAAAUUUUAUCUUAAUGAAAGAUUAAAAUUCCUACUCAUUUUAUGUUCAAAAGUUGAAAUCCGUGAAUUUAUAUCCCCUCGAAAUAGCUGUUUCUUUGAAGUAUCUCUUAAACGGUUGUCACUCAGUCACUGUAGAUACUUAGAAAGGUACAGUUUGAAAUUUUUUACCUAGAUAUCUAUUGACUUUGCAAGUUGUAAGAACAUAUUUAUACUGAUUAAAAGAACUUGAACCUGCCAGUUACUAUUUUUACCAAUUGAUUUCAAUGGUGGUGAGUUUUCUGCUAUAAAUUGAUAUAUAUAUAUAGAAAACUUUUUUUUUCGAUACAGUCAAUAUUUCAUAUAAAGAGGAAGCUAGUGUAUAAAAAAUUAUGCAGUUUAUUACAGAAAUAAUAUAUCUCAUUUAGUGAUUUGUCGCUGAAUAAAUCAUUGUUUGGAGUUCAGAUGCGAAGGAAUUAUAUCACGUGGGCGCAGCCUGAGUGAUAUAAUAAUACGCAGCUGAAUGACAGUGAUUUUAUUCAAGAGCAAAUCACUAAAUGAGAUAUAUUAUUUCGAUUCUAACACGUUACCAAGGACUUUAGAAUACAUCCUUGACGGCAUUCAUUAAAUAUUUGCUCGUUUUCAAUUGGUUUCUUAUCCAGCACGCCGCUAUGCCGUUUGACGCUAUGACGUAAUAAUUGUGACGUCAGAACAGUGAAUUGUUUUAUAAUGUGUGAUACGGAAAAUUUUGUUAAAACCUUUAAAAAACGUGAGUUAAAAAGAGACUUAUUUGUUUUACAUGCAAUAUCAAAAAUGUUUUCCCUACUCGACGUCAUUUGUUGCACCACCUGUGAAAAAUUUUCAUCUGGUGUUCCCUUGUUGAAAGACAUUGAGAUCUUACACUGAAACAAACAUCUGUACAAUAUGUCUCAUUUUUGUAGAAAAUAACAAAAAUAUUAGAACUGUUGGUCAUCAGAUUCUUCAGUCAGCUUAACUUUUGAACUUCUUUACUAAACUUUUGAACUUAGCCGAUUUCUCACUAAAAUUGUAUGAACUGACAUGGCUGUCAGUAUAUUUUUGUUCCUCAGUAACUUGAAGAUUAUGGAUUAUUACAUUAACCUUUAGCCUUUGGUAGCAAGUGAUUCUGCCUUUGCGACCUGUGCAGACCAAGAUUGGUCUGCUGUGUUCACUAUUCAGUCGGUAAAUUUUCAGUGAACACCCCUUUGAAUGAUAAGUGUUACUGCCCAAAUUGAAUGAUGUACCAGUCCAUUUUUGAAAUUUAGCAAGCUGAACAUUAAAGUAAAUAUAAAUACAGUUACUGAGUUAGAUUUUUUUAAAAUACAUGUAAACAUUUAAUGUUUAGUUCUAAUUACACACACUACUUUGCAAGGCAGAUAAUAUGUUAACACGUUUUUGUAAAGAGUUGCAGUGUUAUCUUGGGCAUUAUUAGCUCACCUGUCACAAAGUGACAAGGUGAGCUUUUGUGAUCGUGCGGUGUCCGUCGUCCGUCCGUCCGUGCGUCCGUCCGUAAACUUUUGCUUGUGACCACUCUAGAGGUCACAUUUUUCAUGGGAUCUUUAUGAAAGUUGGUCAGAAUGUUCAUCUUGAUGAUAUCUAGGUCAAGUUCGAAACUGGGUCACGUGCCAUCAAAAACUAGGUCAGUAGGUUUAAAAAUAGAAAAUCCUUGUGACCUCUCUAGAGGCCAUAUAUUUCACAAGAUCUUCAUGAAAAUUGGUCAGAAUGUUCACCUUGAUGAUAUCUAGGUCAAGUUCGAAACUGGGUCACGUUCCAUCAAAAACUAGGUCAGUAGGUCUAAAAAUAGAAAAACCUUGUGACCUCUCUAGAGGCCAUAUAUUUCACAAGAUCUUCAUGAAAAUUGGUCAGAAUGUUCACCUUGAUGAUAUCUAGGUCAAGUUCGAAACUGGGUCAUGUGCCGUCAAAAACUAGGUCAGUAGGUCAAAUAUUAGAAAAACCUUGUGACCUCUCUAAAGGCCAUAUUUUUCAUUGGAUCUGUAUGAAAGUUGGUCUGAAUGUUCAUCUUGAUCAUAUCUAGGUCAAGUUCGAAACUGGGUCACCUGCGGUCAAAAACUAGGUCAGUAGGGCUAAAAAUAGAAAAACCUUGUGACCUCUCUAGAGGCCAUAUAUUUCAUGAGAUCUUCAUGAAAAUUGGUCAGAAUGUUCAUCUUGAUGAUAUCAAGGUCAAGUUCGAAAGUGGGUCACGUGCCGUCAAAAACUAGGUCAGUAGGUCAAAUAAUAGAAAAACCUUGUGACCUCUCAAGAGGCCAUAUAUUUCACAAGAUCUUCAUGAAAAUUGGUCAGAAUGUUCAUCUUGAUGAUAUCUAGGUCAAGUUCGAAACUGGGUCACGUUCCUUCAAAAACUAGGUCAGUAUGUCUAAAAAUAGAAAAUCCUUGUGACCUCUCUAGAGGCCAAAUAUUUCACAAGAUCUUCAUGAAAAUUGGUCAGAAUGUUCACCUUGAUGAUAUCUAGGUCAAGUUUGAAAGUGGGUCACGUGCCAUCAAAAACUAGGUCAGUAGGUCAAAUAAUAGAAAAACCUUGUGACCUCUCUAAAGGCCAUAUUUUUCAUGGGAUCUGUAUGAAAGUUGGUCAGAAUGUUCAUCUUGAUGAUAUCUAGGUCAAGUUCGAAACUGGGUUACCUGCGGUCAAAAACUAGGUCAGUAGGGCUAAAAAUAGAAAAACCUUGUGACCACUCUAGAGGCCAUAUAUUUCAUGAGAUCUUCAUGAAAAUUGGUCAGAAUGUUCAUCUUGAUGAUAUCUAGGUCAAGUUCGAAACUGGGUCACGUGCCAUCAAAAACUAGGUCAGUAGGUCAAAUAAUAGAAAAACCUUGUGACCUCUCUAGAGGCCAUAUUUUUCAUGGGAUCUGUAUGAAAGUUGGUCAGAAUGUUCACCUUGAUGAUAUCUAGGUCAAGUUCGAAAGUGGGCACGACAAGCUCGAAAGUGUGUCACGUGCCAUCAAAAACUAGGUCAGUAGGUCAAAUAAUAGAAAGACCUUAUGACCUCUCUAAAGGCCAUAUUUUUCAUGGGAUCUAUAUGAAAAUUGGUCUGAAUGUUCAUCUUGAUGAUAUCUAGGUCAAGUUCGAAACAGGGUCAUGUGCGGUCAAAAACUAGGUCAGUAGGUCUAAAAAUAGAAAAACCUUGUGACCUCUCUAGAGGCCAUACUUGUGAAUGGAUCUCCCUAAAAAUUGGUCAGAAUGUUCAUCUUGAUGAUAUCUAGUACAAGUUUGAAACUGGGUCAUGUGCCGUAAAAAGCUAGGUCAGUAGGUCAAAUAAUGAAAAAACGUUGUGACCUCUCUAGAGGCCAUACUUUUCAUGGGAUCUGUAUGAAAGUUGGUCUGAAUGUUCAUCUUUAUGAUAUGUAGGUCAGAUUUGAAACUGGGUCAACUGCUAUCAAAAACUAGGUCAGUAGGUCUAAAAUUAUUAAAAUCUUUUGACCUCUCUAGAGGCCAUAUUUUUCAAUGGAUCUUCAUGAAAAUUGAUCUGAAUAUUCACCUUGAUGAUAUCUAGGUCAGUUUCAAAACUGGGUCACGUGCGGUCAAAAACUAGGCCAGUAGGUAUAAAAAUAGAAAAACCUUGUGACCUCUCUAGAGGCCAUAUUUUUCAUGAGAUCUUCAUGAAAAUUAGUGAGGAUGUUCACCUUGAUGAUAUCUAUAUAAAGUUCAAAACAGGGUCACGUACCUUCGAAAACUAGGUCAAUAGGUCAUAUAAUAGAAAAACCUUGUGACCUCUCUAGAGACCAUAUUUUUCAAUGGAUCUUCAUGAAAAUUGGUCAGAAUUUUUAUCUUGAUAAUAUCUAGGUCAAGUUCAAAACUGGGUCACAUGAGCUCAAAAACUAGGUCACUAUGUCAAAUAAUAGAAAAAAGGACGUCAUACUCAAAACUGGGUCAUGUGGGAAGAGGUGAGCGAUUCAGGACCAUCAUGGUCCUCUUGUGUUUUUCUUUGUCUUGUGUAAAACCAGGUCCUUUGAGUUUGUAAAGCUUUCUCGUAUGGCAAAGCCAAGUCAUUUUUUGCAUAAGUGCUUGUGAUGCAAUGUUUAUGAUUUAAUAUACAAAAACAGUUAAAUAGUUAAGUAUUUGAUGUGAAUUUGAUGACUAGUUAACAAAGUUGCAUCAGUGGUGUGUUACAAAAAUAUUUUCCGAGUUUAACUCUUCAUUUUACUUGUUAGGUUUAAUACUUUUAAAUGGCUUUAAUAAUGCCAAUCAGUGCAAAGAAUUUUGUUUGGUCCUUGAAUGUGUUCAUUAUUACAUUUUCUAAAUAAUAUAAUUGCAUAAUGGUCUUUUGCUCUGUUAUAAAUAAUCAUGUUAUAUCCAUAUCCUUGUGUUUAUUUUGCUAACAACUUUGUUCAGCACAUGUAUAUAUACAAUGUACUUGAUCACUGGGCACAUUGGUUAAUAUUUGUUUUUACAGAAAAUAUACAUGUAUGUAUUGCAUUUGUUGAUUACUGGCUCCCAAGUAUAAUCAUUGUAUCUGCUUAGAAAUUUGGCGGUGAUAGAUUCAUACCAAACAUUGUGACAUGUAUAUACCAGAUAUACUGCUGAAAUAAGCUGUUACACCCAUCAAAAUAACAACUAAAAUGCUCGUAGGUAAUUGGUAGAUCUAAUUAGUUUUAUUUAUAAAGAUAAUUAACAAAAUGCACAGUCACCAUUUAGAGUGAUGCUAGUUUAAAGUUAAGAACAAAAUUACUUAAAUUUUUGUUGUAGAUCUAUUCCUUAUUUUUGACAACUUAUCAAAUGCAAAAAAGACCAGUAUAUAUGUAAAGUAGGACAUUUGAAUACCCUAACUAAGUAUUCUCUAAUUUGUUACAUUCUAGUUCUCAAUAAACUUACUGUUUCUUUUUCAGUACACAAGUGUUUUUUUUUUCAAAUUUGCCAAUGUUUUACAAAUUAUUUUGAUUUAUCAUUUAUCAAAUCGUUGAUGUGUUCGUAAAUUUCAUUCAUUUGAUAUCAGAUUCUGGUACUGUAAAAUCAUUUAAUUUCGAGGGCAUGAAAUUUCGUAGUUUUGGUCAAAACAGCAGUUUCUUGGGGAUAUGAAUUCGUGGAUUUCAAAUUUUGAACAUAAAAUAAAUGGGAAUUUUACUUGUUUGUUGGGAUUAAAUUUCGUGGAUUGACUCAACCACGAAAUCCACGAAAAUUAGUCCCCCACGAAUAUUAAUGAUUUCACAGUAUCUUUUAUUUUAAAUUCAGAACCUCUGUUGAAUGUAGACUGCAUGAUUAUUAUAUUUUUCAGGUAUGCAUAAUCUUGUAGAUAAUUUAUAGUUUCUAAGCAAGCAGUUAUGGCUGAUUCAGUAUUUGAGACGUGUCAACAAGUUAAAGUUUGUAUUCAUUUAAUAUAUGUUUAUUAAAAUACCUGAUCAUGAUUUCUACAGUCUUGCUAAAGGUCUGAAAUAUAGUUACCGUUUUUAGCUCACCUGUCACAUAGUGACAAGGUGAGCUUUUGUGAUCAUCCGUCGUCUGUGCGUCCUUCAGUCCGUCAACAAUUUCUUGUCUGCACGAUAGAAGUUUCAUUUAUGAUUUUAUUAGCUCACCUGUCACAAAGUGACAAGGUGAGCUUUUGUGAUCGCGCGGUGUCCGUCGUCCGUGCAUCCGUAAACUUUUCCUUGUGACAUCUCUAGAGGUCACAGUUUUCAUGGGAUCUUUAUGAAAAUGGGUCAGAAUGUUCAUCUUGGUAAAUUCUAGGUCAAGUUCGAAACUGGGUCACGUGUCAUCGAAAACUAGGUCAGUAGGUCUAAAAAUAGAAAAACCUUGUGACCUCUCUAGAAGCCAUAAUUUUCAAUGGAUCUUCAUGAAAAUUGGUCAGAAUGUUCACCUUGAUGAUAUCUAGGUCAAGUUUGAAACUGGGUCACAUGCCUUCAAAAACUAGGUCAGUAGGUCUAAAAAUAGAAAAACCUUGUGACCUCUGUAGAGGCCAUAUAUUUCAUAAGAUCUUCAUGAAAGUUGGUCAGAACGUUCAUCUUGAUGAUAUCUAGGUCAAGUUCGAAACUGGGUCACGUGCCGUCAAAAACUAGGUCAGUAGGUCAAAUAAUAGAAACACCUUGUGACCUCUCUAAAGGCCAUAUUUUUCAUGGGAUCUGUAUAAAAGUUGGUCUGAAUGUUCACCUUGAUGAUAUCUAGGUCAAGUUCGAAACUGGGUCACGUGCGGUGAAAAACUAGGUCAGUAGGUCUAAAAAUAGAAAAACUUUGUGACCUUUCUAGAGGCCAUAUAUUUCACAAGAUCUUCAUGAAAAUUGGUCAGAACGUUCAGCUUGAUGAUAUCUAGGUCAAGUUCGAAAGUGGGUCACGUGCCAUCAAAAUCUAGGUCAGUAGGUCAAAUAAUAGAAAAACCUUUUGACCUCUCUAAAGGCCAUAUUUUUCAUGGGAUCUGUAUGAAAGUUGGUCUGAAUGUUCAUCUUGAUGAUAUCUAGGUUAAGUUCGAAACUGGGUCACGUGCGGUCAAAAACUAGGUCAGUAGAUCUAAAAAUAGAAAACCUUGUGACCUCUCUAGAGGCCAUAUAUUUCAUGAAAUCUUCAUGAAAAUUGAUCAGAAUGUUCACCUUGAUGAUAUCUAAGUCAGGUUCGAAACAGGGUCACGUGCCUUCAAAAACUAGGUCAGUAGGUCAAAUAAUAGAAAAACCUUGUGACCUCUCUAGAGGCCAUAUUUUCCAUGGGAUCUGUAUGAAAGUUGGUCUGAAUGUUCAUCUUGAUGAUAUCUAGGUCAGGUUUGAAAGUGGGUCACGUGCCUUCAAAAACUAGGUCAGUAGGUCAAAUAAUAGAAAAACCUUGUGACCUCUCUAAAGGCCAUAUUUUUCAAUGGAUCUUCAUGAAAGUUGGUCUGAAUGUUCAUCUUGAUGAUAUCUAGAUCAAGUUCGAAACAGGGUCAUGUGCGGUCAAAAACUAGUUCAGUAGGUCUAAAAAUAGAAAAACCUUGUGACCUCUCUAGAGGCCAUACUAGUAAAUGGAUCUCCAUAAAAAUUGGUCAGAAUGUUCAUCUUGAUGAUAUCUAGGUCUAGUUCGAAAGUGGGUCACGUGCCAUCAAAAAGUAGGUCAAAUAAUGAAAAAACGUGACCUCUCUAGAGGCCAUAUUUUUCAUGGGAUCUGUAUGAAAGUUGGUCUGAAUGUUUAUCUUGAUGAUAUCUAGGUCAAGUUUGAAACUGGGUCAACUGCGAUCAAAAACUAGGUCAGUAGGUCUUGAAACAGAAAAACCUUGUGACCUCUCUAGAGGCCAUACCCUUGAAUGGAUCUUCAUGAAAAUUGGUCAGAAUGUUCACCUUGAUGAUAUCUAGGUCAGGUUUGAAACUGGGUCACGUGCUUUAAAAAACUAGGUCAAAGGUCAAAUAAUAGAAAAACCUUGUGACCUCUCUAGAGACCAUAUUUUUCAAUGGAUCUGUAUGAAAAUUGGUAAGAAUUUUUAUCUUGAUAAUAUCUAGGUCAAGUUCAAAACUGGGUCACAUGAGCUCAAAAACUAGGUCACUAUGUCAAAUACUAGAAAAAACGACGUCAUACUCAAAACUGGAUCAUGUGGGAAGAGGUGAGCGAUUCAGGACCAUCAUGGUCCUCUUGUUUUAACCAAACUUGCACACAACUUUUAUCACCAUAAGAUCUCGGUUCCUUUCUUGAACUGGCCAGAUCCCGUUAUGGGUUCUAAAGUUAUGGCCCCUGAAAGGGCCAGAAUUAGCUAUUUUGACCUUGUCUGCACAAUAGCAGCUUCAUUUUUAAUUUUAUUUUAACCAAACUUGCGCUCAACUUGUAUCACCAUAAGAUCUCAUUUCCUUUCUUGAACUGGCGAGAUUCCAUUUUGGGUUCCAGAGUUAUGGCCCCUUAAAGGUCCAAAAUUUGCUAUUUUGGCUUUUGCAGCCAUAUGGAGACUUCAUUUAUGGUUUGAUUUGAUACAAACUUCCAAAAUAUCUUCAACAACAAUAAAUCUUGGAUUCCAUGAUAAAUCUUUCAGAUCCAAAAAAUAUUUUAUAUCUGAUUAACUCCCCUGAUUGUAAUCAAAAUGGAUUUAUAUCAGUAAGUCCUUAUAGGACUUAUUUGAAAUUUCAUUAUUGUCAUUAGUUGGACUGAGACAAUCAGGGUAGAUAACUAUGGACUGAUUUUAUGUCAAAUUACCUCCUUUUAUUUCAAAUUAAAAUGGGUAUUUCUCCGUAACUAAUGAAGAUACUGAUCUGAAAUUUCAACAGAUGGACUUGGACAAUCAGUGGAGAUACAUAUUGACUGAAUUUAUGACAAAUUACCUCCCUUUAUUUUUUAUCUAAAUGAAUACACCUUAGCAGCUUCUAAUGAGAUUGGUUUGAAACGAUCAUAUCAUUUUGAGCAAUGGUACUCAGGUGAGCGAUAUAGGGCCAUCAUGGCCCUCUUGUUGAAAAGUUUUGCUGGCAUACCACAUCUGAUUGUUGUGAGAGUUAUUAUAUAUGUGUUUGUAAAAUAUAUGAGCCGCGCCAUGAGAAAACCAACAUAGUGGCUUUGCAACCAGCAUGGAUCCAGACCAGCCUGCGCAUCCACGCAGUCUGGUCAGGGUCCAUGCUGUUCGCUAACGGUUUCUCUAAUUGCAAUAGACUAUGAAAGCGAACAGCAUGGAUCCUGACCAGACUGCUUGGACGCGCAGGCUGGUCUGGAUCCAUGCUGGUCGCAAAGCCACUAUGUUGGUUUUCUCAUGGCGCGACUGAAUUAUGUGAACAUAAAAUGCCAGUUUAUCAAUUUAUUGUUACUAAAGAGUUGUCAUGCACAUGACUAUUGUGUCUAAAAAUGCCCUUGUUAAAUUAAAUAGUUUUAUUAAAACAGAUUGUCCAUGUACUUAAUAAAUUUCAUAUGAUUUAUGUUGGAUUAUGCAAAGAAUGAUGAUAGUAUUUAAAGUCCAGGUUUUCCACUGUAGCCGAGAGGUGCCAAUUAUUGCAAUUAUUCCUUUAUUUUAUAGAUAAGCUUAAAGCUUGGCUUUGAACUUUUAAGACAUCAAAAACUAUUUUUGGUACUGUUGAAGACUUUGUUAGCGAAAUACUUUAUGUGAGUUUACCUUGCCCAAAUUCAAAAUUUCCAAGCAGAAUUUACUAGCAAGUAUGUUUCGAUAUAUCCUAAUAUCUUGACUUUCAACAUUUCAAAAAUGAAUUAAAUAAGCACAAGUUUGUGAAAUAAAGUGCAUGCGAAUUGAAAGUACUUUACAGUAACAACAAAAUCAAUUCACCAAACUUUAAUAGUGAGAGAUUAACCUGUCUGAUUGUUAAAAAAGUAGUUUACUGAUAUCUUACAUCUGUUACACCAAAACAUAUGGGAACAUUUGAAAUUGUUGAGUUAUUUCUUUUGGUACCGUAGGUGUUUUUGAAAGCACAUGACUGUAUGUAUUGACAUAUUAAUGUGUAAUUAUUGUUAUACCAUUUUAUGUAAAUUGUUUUUUUAAGUAAGGACCUGUAGAAGUAAGGACCUAAUACUAAAUGCAAUUUCUUGUUCAUUAUGAUUUUAUCAAUCAUUAGAGAAAGUAUUGUUAAGGGUAUUGUUUAAAUGGCUGAGGAAUACGGUCAGUUUGAUGUAAUUUGUAAUUGAUAUAAAUGUCUUGUUAAAUAAAUGAAAUUGGUUGAAUUUAAAUAGAA